CGCACAUUCCCUUAGAUCCACACUUCUGGGUAUAUAAGUGGUGAUGUUAGUUUGUUGAAUUAAGCUAACAACAUCCAUUGCCCAAACAACCUUAUUGGCUGUUCAUAGAGUGUGCUUGAGUCAUAAGUGUGCUAAAGUAUUCUACCUCUGUAUUGUAGGUGCUAGUUGUGUAGUGCAUAGAAAGUUUGCUUGCGGCUUUCUCUUGUACUCAUGUAACCUGCAUAUAGGGACACG